rnacentral:tRNA from 1 species
GCCCGAGUGGUGAAAUUGGUAGACACAAGGGACUUAAACUAAUUUGAGCCCUCUUGAAGAAAUUCUUGAGGUGAAACUCGUCAAACUCGGCGAAGGCCCUGGACGAAAGUCCGAGCUAAUACCGAGCCAAGCCCUCCGACGAAAGUUUGGGGGAAGGUGUAGAGAGCAGACGGCGAGCACCUAAAGUCGCAAGACCAUGGUGAAGGCGUGCUCCAGACCACGAACAGCGCAUGCGCUGGCGGCUAAAGCCGAAGUGGUAAGAAAAUCCCUCGACUUAAUCGUCGUACCGGUUCAAUUCCGGUCUCGGGCACCA